GAAGGAAUAUUGGACAAUGGGCGAAAGCCUGAUCCAGCAAUACCGCGUGAAUGAUGAAGGCCUUAGGGUUGUAAAAUUCUUUUAAUAGGGAAGAUAAUGACGGUACCUAUAGAAAAAGCCCCGGCUAACUCCGUGCCAGCAGCCGCGGUAAGACGGAGGGGGCUAGCGUUGUUCGGAAUUACUGGGCGUAAAGGGCGCGUAGGCGGAUUAGUAAGUUGGGAGUGAAAUCCCGGGGCUUAACCUCGGAACUGCUUUCAAAACUACUAGUCUUGAGUGAAGUAGGGGGUGAUGGAAUUCCUAGUGUAGAGGUGAAAUUCUUAGAUAUUAGGAGGAACACCGGUGGCGAAGGCGGUCACCUGGACUUCAACUGACGCUGAGGCGCGAAAGCGUGGGGAGCAAA
rnacentral:rRNA from 1 species